rnacentral:rRNA from 1 species
UACAGAGGUCCCAAGCGUUGUUCGGAUUCAUUGGGCGUAAAGGGUGCGUAGGCGGCGCGGUAAGUCGGGUGUGAAAUCUCGGGGCUUAACUCCGAAGCUGCAUUCGAUACUGCCGUGCUUGAGGACUGGAGAGGAGACUGGAAUUUACGGUGUAGCGGUGAAAUGCGUAGAUAUCGUAAGGAAGACCAGUGGCGAAGGCGGGUCUCUGGACAGUUCCUGACGCUGAGGCACGAAGGCCAGGGGAGCAAACGGG